rnacentral:rRNA from 1 species
CAUGAAGCUGGAAUCGCUAGUAAUCGCAGAUCAGAAUGCUGCGGUGAAUACGUUCCCGGGUCUUGUACACACCGCCCGCCACACCAUGGGAGUUGGAAAUGCCCGAAGUCAGUGACCGAACCGAAAGGAAGGAGCUGCCGAGGGUGGAGCCGAUGACUGGGGUGAAGUCGUAACAAGGUAUC